CACCAACAAAGAAGAUCUGUCACUAUAACCAGGUAGUCCUAACACCAACAAAGAAGAUAUGUCACUAUAACCAGGUAGUCCUAACACCAACAAAGAAGAUCUAUCACUAUAACCAGGUAGUCCUAACACCAACAAAGAGGAUCUGUCACUAUAACCAGGUAGUCCUCACACCAAUAAAGAAGAUCUGUCACUAUAACCAGGUAAUCCUGACACCAACAAAGAAGAUCUGUCACUAUAACCAGGUAAUCCUGAUACCAACAAAGAAGAUCUGUCACUAUAACCAGGUACUUCUAACAACAACAAAGAAGAUCUGUCACUAUAACCAGGUAGUUCUAACACCAACAAAGAAGAUCUGUCACUAUAACCAGGUAGUCCUCACACCAACAAAGAAGAUCUGUCACUAUAACCAGGUACUUCUAACACCCAACAAAGAAGAUCUGUCACUAUAACCAGGUACUUCUAACACCAACAAAGAAGAUCUGUCACUAUAACCAGGUAGUCCUAACACCAACAAAGAAGAUCUGUCACUAUAACCAGGUAAUCCUAACACCAACAAAGAAGAUAUGUCACUAUAACCAGGUAGUCCUAACACCAACAAGGAAG